AUUGUAUUCCUUCCAUCCAAUAAACGAUGUCUGAAGUUUGUUAAAAUUUGAAUAUGUCUAGACAUGACUUAGUAUAUAGAUGCAUUCAAAUUUAAUCAAAGUUGAGACAUCCUUUGUUGGACAGAGGAAGUACUAG
rnacentral:pre_miRNA from 1 species